GACGAACGCUGGCGGCGCGCCUAACACAUGCAAGUCGAACGGAGUCACGAGGAGCUUGCUUUUCUUGACUUAGUGGCGAACGGGUGAGUAACGCGUGAGUAACCUGCCCUGGAGUGGGGGACAACAGUUGGAAACGACUGCUAAUACCGCAUAAGCCCACGGAUCUGCAUGGCUCUGCGGGAAAAGGAUUUAUUCGCUCUAGGAUGGACUCGCGUCCAAUUGGCUAGUUGGUGGGGUAACGCCCCACCAAGGCGACGAUUGGUAGCCGGACUGAGAGGUAGGGCCGCCACAUUGGGACGGGGACACGGCCGAGACUACUACGGGAGGCAGCAGAGGGGGAUAUUGCAAAAUGGGGGAAAUGCUGAUGGAGCGACGCCGGGUGGAGGAAGAAGGUGUUAGAAUUGUAAACUCCGGUCGUAAGGGACGAUAAUGACGGUACCUAACAAGAAAGCACCGGCUAACUACGUG
rnacentral:rRNA from 1 species